GGGCGGUUAGCUCAGAUGGUAGAGCACCUGGUUUACACCCAGGCGGUCGGCGGUUCGAGCCCGUCAUCGCCCA
rnacentral:tRNA from 1 species